AGACAAAUAGAGAUUAACAAGCAAGAAGUUGAACGCCUGACAGCUAAAUCUAUUGACAAUGCUAACUUCGGAGAAGAACUGAGACAGGGAAUGGAGAAUAUCCAAAUUCAAUUGACUGAGCUAAGAAGGGAUCUGGAGGAGAAAAGAAGAGAAUCUGAAGCAAAAAGGAAGAAGGUGUUAGAGUUACGG